GGAGAAUUCAAUAAAGUAGUCGAUGUUUACAUGCUGACUGUUCUCCUGAUAAUCACAUCACUCUUCUUAAAAUGGUCACCAACACUAUUUCUGCCAAGAGUCUGAAUGCUCAUAACGCAUCACACAAGGCUAAAGCAAAUAAAGAGAAGAAGAAAAAAGAAUGCUCCUAGACUACCAAAAUCACAAGAAUGCCAAUCGGCGAUUUUUGUUCGAUACAAUAUAUAACGUAUUUCAACACAAGCAUUUGUAUCCUAUAUAUAAUCCUUUACACCCUAUCACUUGAGAUACUCCAAGCAGUGGCUCUUAACUUUUCUCUCAUGUAAUUAUCUGAGCUUUGAGUCACUUCCCUUGCUUCGGAAUGAUGAAAGAGAGAAGAACGAUCGUGGAGCUUUAAUAGAGCUUCCAGACAUAUGAUCAUCCCUCAGUUUGAAGUUUGCCGGAGGUGCUGGUAUGGAGCUAUGAAUAGCUUGAUCUUGCUCAUGGAACAACUCGCUUUCAUUGAAGCCAUAAUCAGAAGGAUGACUCUGUGAGAAUCCCAUUCUUGACUUCCUCAAGUCUUCUGAUGUCCGAUUGGCAAGAUCUCGCCCAUCUUCUGUAUCAUCAUCUCCCUCAGAAGUCGUCGCAGAAAUCCAGUCAACCAAACUCUCGGUCCCACGACUUUUCCUUCCAAACUUUAACAACCGUUUAAACCCUUUUGUCACAUCCUUGCGUGACUGAUUAUGGGACGAAUUAGCAACUAGAACAGGUUUCUGAGCACUUCCCCACUUCUUCCUCAUUUGAGCUGCAUCAGAGUCUGUAUGGGUAAGAGAUUGAGAAUUCCAUGAAGCAGGGCUUCCAACUGGG
rnacentral:misc_RNA from 1 species